rnacentral:rRNA from 1 species
UGUCUCAAAGAUUAAGCCAUGCAUGUCUAAGUACGCACGGCCGGUACAGUGAAACUGCGAAUGGCUCAUUAAAUCAGUUAUGGUUCCUUUGGUCGCUCGCUCCUCUCCUACUUGGAUAACUGUGGUAAUUCUAGAGCUAAUACAUGCCGACGGGCGCUGACCCCCCUUCCCGGGGGGGGAUGCGUGCAUUUAUCAGAUCAAAACCAACCCGGUGAGCUCCCUCCCGGCUCCGGCCGGGGGUCGGGCGCCGGCGGCUUUGGUGACUCUAGAUAACCUCGGGCCGAUCGCACGCCCCCCGUGGCGGCGACGACCCAUUCGAACGUCUGCCCUAUCAACUUUCGAUGGUAGUCGCCGUGCCUACCAUGGUGACCACGGGUGACGGGGAAUCAGGGUUCGAUUCCGGAGAGGGAGCCUGAGAAACGGCUACCACAUCCAAGGAAGGCAGCAGGCGCGCAAAUUACCCACUCCCAGCUUGGGGAGGUAGUGACGAAAAAUAACGAGACGAUUCUCGUUUGAGAAACGUUAUCGAAAUGAGUACGCUUUACACACGCUAACGAGUAGCAAUUGGAGGGCAAGUCUGGUGCCAGCAGCCGCGGUAAUUCCAGCUCCAAUAGCGUAUAUUAAAGUUGCUGCAGUUAAAAAGCUCGUAGUUGGAUCUUGGGAGCGGGCGGGCGGUCCGCCGCGAGGCGAGUCACCGCCCGUCCCCGCCCCUUGCCUCUCGGCGCCCCCUCGAUGCUCUUAGCUGAGUGUCCCGCGGGGCCCGAAGCGUUUACUUUGAAAAAAUUAGAGUGUUCAAAGCAGGCCCGAGCCGCCUGGAUACCGCAGCUAGGAAUAAUGGAAUAGGACCGCGGUUCUAUUUUGUUGGUUUUCGGAACUGAGGCCAUGAUUAAGAGGGACGGCCGGGGGCAUUCGUAUUGCGCCGCUAGAGGUGAAAUUCUUGGACCGGCGCAAGACGGACCAGAGCGAAAGCAUUUGCCAAGAAUGUUUUCAUUAAUCAAGAACGAAAGUUAGAGGUUCGAAGGCGAUCAGAUACCGCCCUAGUUCUAACGGUAAACUAUGCCAACCAGCGAUUCGCCGAAGUUCAUUUAAGACUCGGCGAGCAGCUUCCGGGAAACCAAAGUGUUUCGGUUCCGGGGGAAGUAUGGUUGCAAAGCUGAAACUUAAAGGAAUUGACGGAAGGGCACCACCAGGAGUGGAGCCUGCGGCUUAAUUUGACCCAACACGGGAAAACUCACCCGGCCCGGACACUGAAAGGAUUGACAGAUUGACAGCUCUUUCUUGAUUCAGUGGGUAGUGGUGCAUGGCCGUUCUUAGUUGGUGGAGCGAUUUGUCUGGUUAAUUCCGAUAACGAACGAGACUCUACCCUAUUAAAUAGUGACAGUAUUGCAUAUUCUGUGCUGAUCACUUCUUAGAGGGACUGGCAAAUUGAAAGCUGCACGAAAAAGAGCAAUAACAGGUCUGUGAUGCCCUUCGAUGUCCGGGGCUGCACGCGCGCUACACUGACUGGCUCAGCGUGUGCCUACCCUACGCCGGCAGGCGCGGGUAACCCGUUGAACCCCAUUCGUGAUGGGGAUCGGGGAUUGCAAUUAUUCCCCAUGAACGAGGAAUUCCCAGUAAGUGCGGGUCAUAAGCUUGCGUUGAUUAAGUCCCUGCCCUUUGUACACACCGCCCGUCGCUACUACCGAUUGGAUGAUUUAGUGAGGUGUUUUGACUAGCGCCUGUAGUCGGAUGUAUAUUCGGCUUCGCGCCGGGAAAUUUCCCAAACCAAAUCAUCUAGAGGAAGUAAAAGUCGUAACAAGGUUUCCGUAGGUGAACCUGCGGAAG